AUGAUGCUUAUCAGUUAUUGCUGACAUACUACUCUUUCUCUAAAUUUGUAUUUACAGCCUGGUCCAGAAUGUGUCACUGACUCUGCCUCUUCCAUGCCAACUUCUAUGCCCACUGGCGAACUGCUGCUUCUUCAAACUUUGCAAGCCCUUCUCCACUCACAAUGCUUCUCUCCUAGUACUCUUGAAAGUAAACAAGAGGUUGGGGCAGGAGGGAACUCUUGAGAAUCCCUCGGAGUGUCAAACGAACUGCAGGAAUGGAUAGGAGUUGGAGAAGGCAUGGACAUGAGAUGGUAGAAGUACUGGAUUCUGGAGAUUUAUGAUUUGAUAGUAGCAGGAGAAUCUCUUGCGUGUGCGAUGAAAGCUAAGAUCCAGUCUUGAUUAAACAGGAUAGGCUGGAUAUGAUUUUGAGCACAAAAGGUUGAAAAUGUUGACCAGCCAGUAGUGUAGGAUGAUUUGAUAGCAGGAGCUAGAGCAAAAUUGAAAUGGCCGAGAAGAGAUAAUAUAUCACGUUUCUUGAUGGAAGUGGAAACCUGGAAGCUAUUGAUGAGGGAGCGAGUGCAUUCUAGUUUAUCAGGAGGGAGGCUGGCAUCAAAUUGUACUGUAUCAAGUGGUAUUCCAAGAAAUUACAGUGAAUUGACUGGGCUGGUGAUCUUGUCUUCUGAGAGUGGAAUGCUGAGUGAAGAAAACAGGGUCUUCAAGUGACUGAUUGCUUGAGCUGGAGGGUCUGAAGAAGGGGAUAUGAGGAGGAAAUCAUCCAUCAAGUGGUUGAGGAGGAUCCAGCAGUGUUUUGGAGAGAGUGUCAAAUAUUUUCAGGCUUCUACGGCAGCCGAAGGCUCAGCUCACCGCUACCACCCCUGCGCUGACUCGGGAGGGCGAAGACGAACAUGCGCUGUCCUCCGAAGCCUAUGCCAUCACCCGACCGCUUUUUUUCACACUCCGGACUCACCAUGCAGCCACCCAAGAGCUACAGCGUCGGAGGUCGCUCCUGGGCAGCUUACAGGCAAGCCCGCAGGCGCCCGGCCAGACUACAGGGGUCGCUGGUGCGCGGUGAGCCGAGGACACCCUGGCCGACCUAACCCUCCCUCCCCCCGGGCGGCACUCGGCCAAUUGAGCGCCGCCCCCUGGAAGCUCCCAUCCUCGGUUGGCAAAGGAAUAGCCUGGACUCGAACUCGCGACAUCCAGACUAUAGAGUGCAUCCUGCACUCCACGUGGAGCGCCUUUACUGGAUGUGCCACUCGGGAGCCCAAAGCGGAGAAUGCUUUAUAGUACUCGUGGAACAUGGUACUCCCGUAUCUAACCUGAGAGCUCCACAAUGUAAAAUAGAUAUUGAUCCAGCUCUUGGCGGUGGUGUGGAUAAACUAUGCAAAGAACGUCACAGUAGAUAAAAAAAAGUGAGAACAAACUCCCCCAGGGUUAAAUUCUUUAGAAGGCGUGGGUCACAGGAUUUGAGGGUAACUGAUAGGUCCCCACAAUCCACAGUGUGGUAGUCCAAAAACUCAGAGUGGCAAUAAGUAUAGAAACUAAGCUGAUGUCUUUACCUUCUAUUAUUUGUUUUUGGAUAUUAAGUGAUAGAGAGUGACACCUGAUGGUAGAGGCUGAGUGGGAACCAGAUGGAAUUGCUGAUACGAGAUUGUGUUCAGGGAUGUCAACAGAGAGGACCAAAGAUGAAGUACCGGAAGCGUAAGCUACUGCAGGAUUAGAGAUUGAAAACAAGAUAGGAAUGGCCGCUGUUGUUGAUGGUAUGACGCGGUUGUUGAGCCGGGCGUUAAUGGUUGAAAUGGAGUUUGCAAUGUGUUGGAUGAGAUCUUUUAAAUCAUUAAAUGUGCUCUGUUGAAGGUGGAGGACAGGAUAUUCUGUUAGAGCGGAGAGUUGAACUGGCUCUGUGGCAGCGGGUGCAGUGUGUGGAGUGGGAGAAGGGCGCCCUCUUGUAGUUGCUUGCCGGCGAGGAGGAAAGACAGGUUCAGCAGACACAGCUUCACAAUAGAGGUUGAAUAGAGGGAGCCGAUCGCUUCCAACAGGAAUAUUAAUGCCUUUGUCGAACAUGGCUUUUCAAAGCUUGGCAAUGGGCCAGUCUUUAUAAUGAAGACGCUGUGGGGGUUGAGUAGUGGAGCGGCGUUUUGAACGGCGUGGCUGCUUUGUAAAAUGAGAUUUCACGGUUGGCCAGAAAUCGUCUGUAUUGGUCAACUUCAGGUAGCUACGUUCUGUUGUCGUUGACAGUUAAAUCCCCUAAACAUCAUGGAAAGUAUCACUUGUCAAGAAAACAAAAGGUUAAUAUUUGUAAAAUGAGAUUUGUAGAUAUUUACAGCACUUAAAAAAAUUGAACUUCCAACAUACAAUAACUUAAAUAGAAUACUACUACAUGUAUACAUGCAGUAGAUCUUCAGUUAACAUCGCUUAUACUUAGUCUUCUGCGUACGGUGACCAGACGUCCUGAUAAAAUCGGGAUUGUCCCGAUAUUAGGGGCUUUGUCCCGCGUCCUGAUCGAGGUACUGUCGGGACGCCAUUUAUCCCGAUUUUUAGAGUAAAUGUUGAAAACCCAGGCAUAAAAUGUGAUAUUUUUUAUUUUCUCGUUAGAAAAUGCCAUAUGUGGCUGCUGUACUGUCUUGCGGUGCAACAGCAUACUGUACUGGUUUAGAGUGUGUUGUUUGAGUGGUUGUUUGCAUUAAAAUUUAUGCGGCUAUCUAAUCACGUUAACCUGCAAUCAUAUGAUGCGGUAUGCGGUAUGUGUUUUACUGGCGAAGUGUCAUGGUGGCUGGUGUUGUUGACAAACCUGUCCCUAAAAAGCAAAAAAAAAGUGCAAGUACCGAACGCAAUGGGAAAAAAAAUAAAAAAUUGGAUUCAAUCAUAUGACUGUGUUACAAAGACAUUUUGUAAAUUGUGUAAAAAAAGAGUGUAGCAUCACAAGGCAGCGAGUUGGAUGUGAGGCAUCACACCGGUGGGAUGCAACAUUAUUAUUAUUAUUAUUAUUAUUAUUAUUAUUAUUAUUUUUAUUUAUUGUGACUGUGAAUUGAAGCUUGCGAGAGUACUCAAAGCUCAAAAGUAAAACUGCAAUUUCAGCGCGAGCUGCAAGGAGUUCUACAGUUAUGUCAUUGGCAAAAAGGAUGUUAUGCGCAUGGCCAAGUCAUCCAGUUAGGAUUAGGAUUAUAAUUAGGAUUUCAUGGACAUUUCACGGACCUGUUUAAACAUUAAAUACACCUAAUAUUUUAGAGCACUUUAUAAGCCUAAAAAUAGUGGUACUUGUUUCCUUACUAAAACAGAGUGCUGUCAUUUGUUAAAAGGCAAGCAGGCAACAUCUCCCAAUAGUUGCUGUCAACAUUCUCUGUCUGGUGUGGACUUGUCCAUGCAUUGAGACUGCAAGUCUGCAUCCACUGAAUUGGUUGGAAGUGUAAGGCAAAGCUUUGCAAGUUAUACAGAUGUGGACAUAAAUUAGAACCAGUCCCAAAAUUCGGCUAUCCAAAGGUAUCUGGCAUUCUUUAAUAAAAUCCAUAUAUGCAACACAUUCAUUGUCAUGUUAUUUGCCCCAUCCAGGAAUUUAUUUUAUCAGUACUGAGUCAAAACAAAGAAAACGUGCCUAUUCGGGUCUAAAAUGCUAACUGUUUAAAAAGUAAACAGUAGGUUGUUUGAACCGAGGUAGCUGUGCUUGACUGGACCUGUAGUGCUGAUUUAACUUGGCUACAACCGACACAGGAAUACUUUUAUCUCUGCGCUGACUUUCCAGUUUGUUUUCUGAAAGCUGCUGUUUGUUUUACGUUCUGUUCAGCAGCCUCUGUAGUAGCCUUUUGUUUAAUGAAUGAUUCUGAAGUUAUAGCGAUCGAUCGUAUUUUCUUUAAGUCACAUUACAAGAUGUGCAAAACAAUUACCUCCAUCUGCAUGUCCAGUUUCUUUGGGAAAUGUCUUGUCACGAUCCUCUGUCGAAAUAUACUUGCUUGUUUUGCUUUGUCGUCCAUUUUUGUAUUUUACGUCUAAUGUUGAAAACUAGAUUUUAGCAACCUAAAUCAAAACAAUGCAGCACUGACUUUGUCCCACCUGCUGCGCACAGUACAGCAGGUCACAGAAAAGCCAGUACAGAUGCACUGAUACGGCUGAUUAAAACACCAUUGUCAUUUGAACAGUAAACAAGAAAGUUAACUGCUUUGGAGUAUUUUUUUUUAAAUUUAUAUUUCUCUAAGUUUUUGUUUUUGCCUAAGUGCAAUGCACACAAGAUGGAGAAGGAAUAAAAAAAAGCCUAUUUACGAAAGAAAAAUACGUAGUUUGUGUCGCUUGCGUUGUGCAGUAGUUCACAAGGUUUCUUUCCUUCCCUCACCAACUGAGUGUCCCGAUUUUUCACUCUUGCUAUCUGGUCACCCUAGUUCCGCACUUGCGGUUUAUUCCGAAUUUUACCAAAAAAUUACAAGAUUUUUUUUUUUUUUUUUUUAACUGGACGUUGUUUUUUACUGAUUUAUACCCGAUUUUCGUCUAUUAUUCAAUAUUGUCCCGGUACUAUUUCUAGGCAAUACGAUAUAUUUUUAUUAAAAUGCUGUUUUAUUUUUACUAUGACAUUGUAAUAAGCAGCCCUAUACUGUAUCCUAGGAUACAGCAGACGUUUAGACAUCAGAGGAUCAAAUUACGUUCAACCUGUGGUUCUCUGUCACUUCAUAAACACAUUAUCACCUGAUUAUGUUGGCCAAUCAAAGUCUUAUUAUUGUGGCAACUGCUUGGCAUAGUAAAUACUAGCUUGAUCAAAAACUAAAUUGAAAUAUUUGCACGAAAAUAUUAUAUUUUUAGUGGAUGAGGAAUGGGAAGAAAACGUAAAUCAGUUUAUGAAUAUUCAAAAGAAAACAAUUGUUUCGAAGUAUACAAAAAGCAAAAAUAGCAGAAGUGGGUCAGAUGAGGCAGAGGAUGCAUAGUGCUGCAAAUUACUGCUGCAUUGAGGUACAUGUUCACGCUGACAGUAAAAGAAAAAAAAUAAGCGACACAUUAAAAUAAAACAUUAAAGUGAGCUGAGAGACAAGCAAUCCAUUUAUGCGACUUAAUAAAAAGACAGCACAGUGUUAAUGAGUUUUCAGAGAGCUGUGCUUUGCUGGACAGCCAAUUGCAGAGAGGUAUGUAUUGGUGACUUCAUACGACAGUACUGUCUGUCCAUCAGCUAAAUCUCCCUCCCGACCUCUGAGGGCGCUAAGUAACGGGAACAGAGUACCCUGGACUGCUUGCCCUGACACUUCGUUCCGAGGGUUAAAAGGAAGUUGAUCAUUUAGAAAAGGGGCGGUUAUUAUUAGACAGCUAACACGUUCCAGAGUUGUCGCCAGAGGCCAGCACAAACAACGGACCAGCACUGCACUUGUAUCACAAAUAACUGUAGUUGCACCACAAGCACAAAUUAACGCACUAAUGGACUUGUGUAUGUGUUUUGUGUUUCGUGUGGGUGUACAAUAAACAGGACUAUUAUUUCAGGACCAACCUGGGGAUUACAAAGUAAGUAAUACACGCCGCUGUAUUACUUACCAUCAUUAUUGUUUACUGUUUGUUUUGCUGUCAGUCACUGGACAUACAAACCCAUUAAACAACUUUGCACCCGGAUUAUAAUUGUCUGUCUGUUCAUUGAUCACUUGCACCUGCACACUGUUAACCACUUUGCCACAGGCACGCAUUGAUGGAAAUGUCCAGUAUGAUUUUUGACGCGUCUCCCCAUGUCUUGCACCACCCAGUUCUGUCAAUUUUCUUUUCUCUUUAUGAUUUCAAGGCUAAUAAACCUGGCUUGUUUUGUACUGAUGUCAUGUUCUUACCGUAUGUAGGUACUAUUUUUUUAAAAGAUAAAACCCGAAAACGCGGAACACUUGUUAUACUGUAUGUUUUGGUUUUGUAAAAUUAAAACAACGUAUCACUGGGUAAAUGCUUAGAAUGCAACGUGAUUUUGCUUGUAUGUGUGGCCAUGCUUACAAAGGAAAAAGGGUACUGGUAUACUAGUCGUACCUUAAUAACAUUUUCAAUUUCAUGCAUUUUUAGGAGAGUUUACAACAAACUUGUCUGUGGCCUGAGAUUGAGGUGGGACAAUAAACUUACAGUUAACUACAUAGCAAAGCAAAAUAGCACAAGACACUCUUAAAAAGCAUAGGUAGCCUCGUAUUAUUAUAAAGGUUCAGUACAAUGGAUUGCUGUAUGUAUGUACUGCAUAUUUAGAACAUGGUUUGGUUGUUAGUAGCUUUUUGAUCCCAAAAUCUCAUCAAGCAGCUUCUUGAAGGAUCCCAGGGUGUCACUUCAACAACAUUACUGGGGAGUUGGUUCUGUGUAAAAAAGUGCCUCGUAUUUUCUGUUCUGAAUGCCUCUUUUCACAAUAUAUCCGAGCAUCUUGCUGGACUUUUUUUUAUAGCUUCCCCACAUUGUCUAGAUGAUGACAUUUCUGAGUCAACAUGAACU